AUUGAACGCUGGCGGCAGGCCUAACACAUGCAAGUCGAACGAGUGGCGGACGGGUGAGUAAUGUCUGGGAAACUGCCAGAUGGAGGGGGAUAACUACUGGAAACGGUAGCUAAUACCGCAUACCAUCGGAUGUGCCCAGAUGGGAUUAGCUAGUAGGUGGGGUAACGGCUCACCUAGGCGACGAUCCCUAGAUGGUCUGAGAGGAUGACCAGCCACACGGGAACUGAGACACGGUCCGUAUUCCUACGGGAGGCAGCAGUGGGGAAUAUUGCACAAUGUGCGCACGCCUGAUGCAGCAAUGCCGCGUGUAUGAAGAAGGCCUUCGGGUUGUAAAGUACUUUCAGCGAGGAGGCGUUACUCGCAGAAGAAGCACCGGCUAACUCCGUGCCAGCCGCGGCGGUAAUUC
rnacentral:rRNA from 1 species